rnacentral:tRNA from 1 species
AGAGCUGUAAUUUAAGAAAAAUAAUAAGUUGCAAACUUAACAAUAGGACCUUCGCCCCCUCAGCCCCG